rnacentral:rRNA from 1 species
GACGAACCGUGCGAACGUUGUUCGGAUUCCCUGGGCUUAAAGGGCGCGUAGGCGGGUGAUCUAGUCAGGGGUGAAAUCCUCCAGCUUAACUGGAGAACAGCCUCUGAUACUGGCCAUCUGGAGGAAGGUAGGGGCAUGUGGAACUAAUGGUGGAGCGGUGAAAUGCGUAGAUAUCAUUAGGAACGCCGGUGGCGAAAGCGACGUGCUGGACCUUUUCUGACGCUGAUGCGCGAAAGCCAGGGGAGCAAACGGG